AUACUUCAACCCUCCUCUUUCUUUAUGAUCGAAGAGGUGUUUGGAUUCUGAGCGUUUUGCUGGCCUCGCGGUCGAGCUCGCUCGUAAUGCAUUAGCAUCCGCAAUCGAACUUCGGAUUGACUUGGCGUAAUAGACUAUUCGCUGAGGAAUUCUAGUCUUCGGACUAGAGCCGGGUUGGAUUAAAGGAAGCUCCUAAUCCUAAUGUCUAUUUUUAAGAU
rnacentral:misc_RNA from 1 species